rnacentral:rRNA from 1 species
AUUGAACGCUGGCGGCAUGCCUUACACAUGCAAGUCGAACGGCAGCGGACCUUCGGGUGCCGGCGAGUGGCGAACGGGUGAGUAAUGCAUCGGAACGUGCCAUUGAGUGGGGGGAUAACGUAGCGAAAGUUACGCUAAUACCGCAUAUUCUGUGAGCAGGAAAGCAGGGGACCGCAAGGCCUUGCGCUCUUUGAGCGGCCGAUGUCAGAUUAGCUAGUUGGUGAGGUAAAGGCUUACCAAGGCGACGAUCUGUAGCGGGUCUGAGAGGAUGAUCCGCCACACUGGAACUGAGACACGGUCCAGACUCCUACGGGAGGCAGCAGUGGGGAAUUUUGGACAAUGGGCGCAAGCCUGAUCCAGCCAUGCCGCGUGAGUGAAGAAGGCCU